GAUGAACGCUGGCGGCGUGCCUAAUACAUGCAAGUCGAGCGAAUGGAUUAAGAGCUUGCUCUUAUGAAGUUAGCGGCGGACGGGUGAGUAACACGUGGGUAACCUGCCCAUAAGACUGGGAUAACUCCGGGAAACCGGGGCUAAUACCGGAUAACAUUUUGAACCGCAUGGUUCGAAAUUGAAAGGCGGCUUCGGCUGUCACUUAUGGAUGGACCCGCGUCGCAUUAGCUAGUUGGUGCGGUAACGGCUCACCAAGGCAACGAUGCGUAGCCGACCUGAGAGGGUGCUCGGCCACACGGGGACUGGGACACGGCCCAGACUCCUGCGGGAGGCAGCAGUAGGGAAUCUUCCGCAAUGGACGAAAGUCUGACGGAGCAACGCCGCGUGAGUGAUGAAGGCUUUCGGGUCGUAAAACUCUGUUGUUAGGGAAGAACAAGUGCUAGUUGAAUAAGCUGGCACCUUGACGGUACCUAACCAGAAAGCCACGGCUAACUACGUGCCAGCCGCCGCGGUAA
rnacentral:rRNA from 1 species